ACUGGACCCUCCUCACUUGUGUUCAGACCACGCUGCGCUUCGCUGCUGCAGCAAGCAGGAAUAUUCCAUGGACUUUUUUUUUUUAAAUAUUUUGCAUAUUUUUGGGAAGGGGGGAGUGCAUGGGCACAAUGUAUGACCAGUGGGACAGUGUGUUUGGGGUUUUCUUCGCCUCUUUUAAGGAGACUGUUUGGGUGUUUUUGGCUGUUUUUUUACGCCUCUGGAAUAACAUUCUGGGACAACUUGUGUUUGGGGAAAGUUGCUCCGAGUUGUCUGGUUUUGUUCCUUUUACAGGUGCGAACCAGCAGUUUUUCAUUCACAGUGUGCGCAUGCACGCGUGUGUUUGCGAACGUGUGUGUGUGUGUGUGUGUGUGUGUGUGUGUGUGUGUGUGUGUGUGUGUGUGUGUGUGUGUGUGUGUGUGUGUGUGUGUGUUUUAUUCAGAAAUAAAUGUGGUUUCGACCCCCUUUUCAAAUGUGUUGCCCAGAUAUUCUGAGAGGCAUUUAUUCAACAAUCAACAGUCAAUUAAAUCCAGUGUAAGCUCUGGGCUCUUAACAGUUUACUGACAAGCUCUGCUGAAGCCUCCUUUGCCUACUGGCUGAAUUCACGUGACGACUGUGACCAUAAUGGACAUGGGGAAGGAGUCCGCAUCAGAUAGCCUUUCCAUCCUCCUAUGGUUCUACUGGAGGGUACUGUCACGAUGGGGAGCCAAGAGGAGGUUAGGACCCAAAGAUGCAGAAAACCAGAUGACGCUUAGUGGAGCAAUAAACCAGUGGAACAUCAGGAGUGACCUCGAGCCAGCCUACUCCACAGCCUUAAUAAAGACUUUGGCAUUCAAGGUUUUUUUUGGCUUCACAAGCUGAGAGGUGAAAGAAAUUCAUGCAAAGCCUUAUUGAACAAUGAAAACACAAUAAGUAACUUUCUGCUGACUUGUGGGGAGGCCAGUUGCCAAGCUUCAGGAACGCUGCCAUCAAUCUCCUCCGCAAGGAUGUUUUUUGGGUCCAAAUGGCACCCAGCGCGAGGAGUCGUCUCACAUCUAGGAGAGAAGAUGAAAUUCAUCAGGAUGUGUGGCUAAAUGAGAGCCAGGCAGAGGUGAGUGAGGAAUAAUACUAAGGAGGUCAGAUGGUGAAACGAUGUGGUUUAAAACUCAACUUAAAUGUUCAGUUAGCAAAAAAGAUGGAUUAAUUAUUUUCUGUCAUUGCUUCUGACCCACAUGGAACCAGACUGAACUUUGCAAUCUCCUGAGCUGAAUGUGCUUUUUGAUGCAGAUCUGUUAAUGUAGCUGCUUCUCUCUCUAAUGGAUUUUUUAUUUUGAUAUUGUUUCUCUGCAAAAUAUGAAUGAAUUAUUUGUUUGUGUAAAGACAUUUAGCCUUUUUUGUGCUUUAAAUGCACAUCUGAGCUUUAACAUUGACCCGACUAAACUGUCCCAAAAGUGAAAAAACUUGGUCAUUUGAAUUCUUCUGCUUGAAGAUUAAAUGUUCAAUAUGAAUUAACGGACAACAAAACAAGUGAUCUGUUCUAUUAGCUGGUAAAUGGAUCUUCAAUUGCCUGACUAGCUGGGACUGAGACUACACUGGAUAUGACUAAACAUCAACAGUUUUACAAGGAUUUAAAAAAAAGCUCCCAUUGGGCUCACUAACCGCAUUCUCAGAAGAUCAGUUUAUCCCGUCUGGAAUCUCCGAAGCAUUCGUGAUAUUUCUCAUCAGGUGCAAAAUCUAUCAUAUUAUUCUGUCAACUGAAGAAUCAGUUUGGAUGCAUACAGCCUGAAUUAUUCAUGCCCCUGAAUAAAGAAUAGCCCUAUUAUCACAUGCCCCUGUUUGUGUGACAGAGCCUGCACUCAAGCGCGCACGUGUGUGUGUGUGUGUGUGUGUGUGUGUGUGUGUGCGUGCGUGCGUGCAUGUGCGUGCGUGUGUGUGUGUGUGUGUGUGUGUGAGAGAGAGAGAGAGAAAUAGUGUAGUAAGUGUAGUAUAAUGGCUGCAUUCCUGUCUGCAACAAGACCCAAAGUGAUAAAUGUCAUUUAAUUGCUGUAAACUAGCCGUUAUCCAUAACCUAUCAUGACUGCUUAAAGAAAAAAAAAGUCUUUUUUGUGUGUUUUUCAACCCAAAUUGGUCAAACUCUCUAGCCUGGCCAGCCAGACUCCUCCUCUGUUUAAUUCUGCACAGAGAAAGGGUCUGGGAACUCUCCUAUUCAAAUAACCCCACCCCGUGAGAAUUCUAACCUAGCCAAUCAGCGCUGAGUAGCGUACGUCACACACACCAUAAUGCCAAGUUUGUCGAACAUGGCGACUGAAGCGGAGUUCGCUGCGGCUCUUCUACAACUUCUACAACAAGUAGAAGCACUAAAAGCAUUUCUUCUAAAGAAAGAUGUUUGCACUGUCGCCAGACUCCAUUAUUGACUACAGCUAAAAAACCACAGCGCCGGGGACGUCACACACAGCAACGUCAGUUUCUCAUAAACAACAAACACAGCAGCGGAGUUCGCUGCGGCUCUUUCCUCUGUUCUAAAUGACUCGAAUGUCUUUAAAACCACAAGUAGAAGCACUAAAAGCCUUUCUUCUAAAAACAAUAAAAGAUGUUUGCGCCGUUGCCGGACGCAAUUUUUUUUUUACUACAGCUAGAAAACUACAGCAUCGUGCGGUACAGUCGGCAUUUCCAUCUUUUUCCUGAUUGGUUACUUUUGAGCUGCCUAGUCCCGCCCCCUCAUGUGCCUCUCUGCCUGUGAGUUCCCAGACUCCUUCUCUGUGCAGAUUUAAACAGAGGACGAGUCUGGCAGGCCAGGCUACAAAAUCUCUGGAAACCAGUAAAUUGUACCCAGAAUUUUAUUCACUAUUUGAUGCAUGAUCCGGUUAAUAAACAUCACCACAUGCUGGUGAACUAUGAACCCAUCCGUCACCCAUCCCCCCCCCCCCCCCCCCCCCCCCACAACACCCGCUUUCUUUCUCAGUCCAAAAAAUCUGUUAAAACUACUCUUAAAUUAGCAAAACAAAAACAUUUUUCACAACCAAAGAUUUAUUCAACAAUCCUUAGUUUUGAACAACGUCUCAAAGUUUUGAUUAACAUUUACAGAUUUAGACAAAAAAAUGACUGCAGUAAAAGUAUAAUUAGGCCCUGAAAAUGUAUUACAAAAUGAACAUGUAAUGUAAAAAUUAGAUGGAAAACAAAGACCAAACUCAACAUGAAGGGGUGUGUGUGUGUGUGUGUGUGCGUGUGUGUGUGUGUGUGUGUUCACGCUCAUGAACAUGAGUGGCAUGUGACACAGAGGUCAGAGUGGGCCUUGCAAACAUAGGCAUCACAUUUGUAGCCUCUGAGGCUUGUGUUGUUGUCUCUACGGGCACGAAGCUCCCCAAACACAUGCUUCCCCUCUAUACAUUAUUAAUACAUAUUACUUUAUAAUUUCAUAGAAUAUAACAAAGAAAAGUGGAGUAAAAAACACAAAGAAACAUCAACAACUUUUACUUGGGUUUUGUAAUUACAAGCAAUGGUAAGGUGAGUAAAAAUUACAAACUGUAUGUAAGUAUGGCUUGUAACAUUUACUUAGGUCUUUUUCAUAAAAAAUACUUGGUUCUAGAAAGUAUAUAUUACUUAAAAAUAGCCUGAGUAAAAUUUACAAGCAUUUUAUGUGUGUAAAUACUGUCCUUACUUUUUUUAAGUAAAUGCCACUCCAAUUUUAUUUCAGUGUAGGUUUCUCAUUUCCAGUGUAAUUCCCUCAAUGGACUCUGGUAAACAGAGUUGGAAGCUGGACUUAAUGUCAUCCACGCAAAAUGUUGCAUCGACCCUGGCUUCAUCUUUAUGAUGUUUUCCACUCUUGCUCUGCUUCCUUUGUCCUGGGUGGAGGAAGACCAGAGCUUUGACUGGAAAGUCUUCUCAGGUGACUGUUCUUCUCCAUCUGUUGACUGGUCAAUCUCCUCAAAGUCUGGAUCAAAAUCUGCGUUGUCUUCCUCUUCCACAUGCUCCGCUAUCUCUGGUUCAAUGUCAGUGCCCUCAUCAUCAAGUCCAAAAUCCUAGACCAGAACUUCUUCAACAGAUAACCGCUUGGUCAGUUGCCUUCUCAUUGUGCUCCGAGUUAAAGAAGUGCAAGGAAAACAUCAAGCUAUAUUUCCGGGGUCUGUAUGAAGAUGAUCAGUCUGGAAGGGGUGGUUCACGUGGAGAAUAGGCACAAAAGCGUGGGAUAGAGGUGGGUCAGCAUAACAGACACAUGUCAAGUCUGUGUGAAGAUGUGAUGCAUCGUUUCAUCAAGAAGUUAGUUCACGUGGGAGGGUCAGCACAAAAGUGUGUACCCUAUAAAUACAUUGUUCAGUCUGAAAUGAGUGAGUGAGUGAGUGGGGGUGGUGUGUAUGGGGAUGUUUUCUGUCUGAUGGAUGCAUAUAGUCUGUAUACCCCUUCACUUUUGGCCAGGAACACCACGUGAGAGACAAGAUUGAUUAAAAGACAAAAUUCAAUGAAAAAGGAGAUCAUCACUUUCAUUUGUUCAAAUGUAUAUUGUGGAGGAUAUCAUAAGGCCUCGAGGCAAUCAGAUGUGAAACACAAUUUUUAUGAGUGUUUUAAGUAAAUCGGUCAGAUUUGACCCAAACACGACAGGGAGGUUUUAAUGUUGAUUUAUAAUCAUGUUGGUUUCUUUUCCCUUUAGUUUUGAUACAAUGUUUGCUUCAUAUUGUAUAAUAAAUCUGUAAAACCUUUAAACAGUUGCUUCUUGUUUAUUAUUACUAUUGCAUUGCUACAUCUUCACAUGUUAAUAUUAGCAAAAACAUGUUUAGUUACAGCCUGUUGAAAGGUCAGCUUUUCUAAAAUUUUUAAUACAUUUGCAGUGGUUUCUAAUGAAUGAAUGCCUCGUAAAUUUUACUUGGGGUGGCGAAAGCUCUGGUGGACCUGUUUGAGGACGUAGAAGUCAGCCAGAGGAGAGAGUGGCAGAAGAUAGCAGCAUUUUGAUCUGAUUGGACAACAGCAGCGCAACUCUACCACUGGCUCCGUUUGCUUUGCAAUGAUAAUGUUUCAUCUCCGCAAAUGACAAAAGCCUGAAGGAGUUCUGCUGUGUGGUGGAGUUACUAAUGCUAACGGUUAGCUUCUGCGAGUCAAGAUGUCCUCUGCUCUUUCUUGGAGAUUAAAACUACAACAGGUUUCCCCAUCAUGAGUCAUGAUGGGUGAGUCCAUGACAGUGUGAUGUAGAUUUUCAAAUAUUUUUCUAUUUUCUACCAGAUGUUAAUGCAGAAAAUAGGGGUAGACUAUUUUCAUGUUCAGCCUGGAUGUUAAACUCCGAGUGACUUAUCGUUUCCAAAAGUAAGUAAAAAAGAUUAAUCAGUGAGCCUGAUCUUAAAUUUACCCGUGAAAGAUACUUCGGUCAAUGGGGACAUGCUCUUUUGGCUGACCUCUACUCCUCAGCAACCCACAACAUGUUUUAAAAACAUAAUUUUUAAAACAUGUUCGUGUGUCAUAAUGCUUUCGAACAUGGAUCCUGAUGUUUUUUUAAUGCAAUUUGUAAUUUCAUGUAUAUGAAAUUCUUGGCUGUAAACACAGGAGACACAAAGUGCAUCCAAAUCAGAGAAUGAAC